rnacentral:lncRNA from 1 species
UGUGCUCUGGGGACCGCUGCAUCCUCAGGCUGUGGACUAGGAAGCUGAGGGUCACCCAGACAAGAGGAGGUGCUGGAGGUCACACAGUGAAUAUGCCUCGCUGGCCUUCCCGUCUGGCGUGUCUUCCUCUGCCCCCAUCCAGGGAGGAUCACCUGAGCCCAGGAGGUCAAAGCUUCAGUGAGCUGCGAUCUCACUGUCAGGCCUCUGAGCCCAAGCUAAGCCAUGGCAUCCCCGGUGACUUGCACGUAUACGCCCAGAUGGCCUGAAGUAACUGAAGAAUCACAAAAGAAGUGAAAAUGCCCUGCCCCGCCUUAACUGAUGACAUUCCACCACAAAAGAAGUGAAAAUGCCCUGCCCCGCCUUAACUGAUGACAUUCCACCACAAAAGAAGUGAAAAUGGCCGGUCCUUGCCUUAACUGAUGACAUUGUCUUGUGAAAUUCCUUCUCCUGGCUCAUCCUGGCUCAAAAAGCUCCUCCACUGAGCCCCUUGUGACCCCCACUCCUGCCCGCCAGAGAACAAUCCCCCUUUGUAAUUUUCCUUUACCUACCCAAAUCCUAUAAAACGGCCCCACCCUUACCUCCCUUCGCUGACUCUCUUUUCAGACUCAGCCCGCCUGCACCCAGGUGAUUAAAAGCUUUACUGCUCACACAAA